rnacentral:lncRNA from 1 species
AUAUGUGACCGGGGCUACAAGGUCACAAACAGACCCACAAGUGCUCGCCUUCAUGGAAAGGAUACUACAAGUGUUAAAUAGCAUAAAGCACACCCAGCAAGCCCAUUUGCAAUAUUUCAACGAGCUGCUAAGUAAUGCCGACAGUGCAGCUCCGCACCCUCAUGGCCUCCCAGACCUGCCUUUCUCGAAUGUGGCGGAUGUUCUCGCGUAUGAGGAGAACCUCGAGACAGACAGACAGCCAAGCUGAUGAUCAAAUGAAAAAGUACAUGGCUGUACAAGAGGGAGAUUCGACGAAACAGAGAAGAACACGUGUACUGCAGUCCCUCCUCAGCUGGAAUUCUGCAGUGGGCUUCAGUUGGUUUGGCACAAAGGGAAAAAAAGAAUCUGUGAACUGCUCCUCUGCAAGCUGAUGUGCGGCGUGUUGACUAAUGACAUCCAAAACCUGAAUGCGAGCCUGAAGGAUGUGGAGAAGGCUGCGAUGACCUGGUUCCGUCAUACUGCUGAGCGGCUUGCCGCGCAACAAAAAUAGUUUCUUUCUUUGUUUGUUCAACUAAUAAGAUAAUCCUGAAGGUCAGUUAUUUGCUGCAAAUUCUCUGCAUUGUGUGUAUUAAAAUUUGUGUUUUUCUUCA